rnacentral:tRNA from 3 species
GGGGCAUUAGCUCAGCUGGGAGAGCGCAUGACUGGCAGUCAUGAGGUCAGGGGUUCGAUCCCCCUAUGCUCCACCA